rnacentral:tmRNA from 1 species
GGGGACGUUAUGGAUUUGACGGGUGGAUUGGUGUAAUCAGGCUGCGAGUCUCAGUGCUGUUCUGAGUUAUCAACAAGCAAAUUAAAAUAAACGCUACAAACAACGUAGUAAAAGCUGAUUUCUCAAGAGUUAGAGCUCUUGCUGCAUAAGUGCAGUUCAGCCAUUAUGUCAGACCAGCUUGCCGUUUGAUAUAGUGCCAGUAUGCAAGCUGCAAUCCGGUAAUGAAAGUAGCCGGAUCAAGUAAUACUUUCAAACUGCGUAUCAGUUAAAACUGCUUUGGUAAUAUUAUAGGAUUGGUUCGUGCCAUAGUAUUAUCGAGAAUAACAGGCCUACGCUCGUAGAUGCAGGUUUAUAUCCCAUUCCGGACGAGAGUUCGAAUCUCUCCGUCUCCA